AUUGAACGCUGGCGGCAGGCCUAACACAUGCAAGUCGAACGGACCCUUCGGGGUUAGUGGCGGACGGGUGAGUAACACGUGGGAACGUGCCUUUAGGUUCGGAAUAGCUCCUGGAAACGGGUGGUAAUGCCGAAUGUGCCCUUCGGGGGAAAGAUUUAUCGCCUUUAGAGCGGCCCGCGUCUGAUUAGCUAGUUGGUGGUGUAACGGACCACCAAGGCGACGAUCAGUAGCUGGUCUGAGAGGAUGAUCAGCCACAUUGGGACGGAGACACGGCCCAAACUCCUACGAGAGGCAGCAGUGGGGAAUCUUGCGCAAUGGGCGAAAGCCUGACGCAGCCAUGCCGCGUGAAUGAUGAAGGUCUUAGGAUUGUAAAAUUCUUUCACCGGGGACGAUAAUGACGGUACCCGGAGAAGAAGCCCCGGCUAACUUCGUGCCAGCCGCCGCAGUAAAAC
rnacentral:rRNA from 1 species